rnacentral:rRNA from 1 species
UACGUAGGGGGCUAGCGUUGUUCGGAAUUACUGGGCGUAAAGGGCGCGUAGGUGGCCCGACAAGUCCGUGGUGAAAGCUCGACGCUCAACGUCGAGUCGGCCAUGGAUACUGUUGGGCUGGAGCACUGUAGAGGCUCAUGGAAUUCCGGGGUGUAGCGGUGGAAUGCGUAGAGAUCCGGAAGAACACCGGUGGCGAAGGCGGGUGAGCUGGGCAGUUGCUGACACUGAGGCGC